UUAAGUUCAGCGGGUAUCCCUGCCUGAUCCGAGGUCAACCGGUUAAAGUUGGGGGUGGUUUGGUCGGCUGGCCUCCGGCCGGGCCUCCAGAGCGGGUGACAAAGCCCCAUACGCUCGAGGACCGGGCACGGCGCCGCCGCUGCCUUUCGGGCCCGUCCACCCCUGGACCGGGGGGGACGAGGCCCAACACGCAAGCCGGG
rnacentral:misc_RNA from 1 species